rnacentral:sRNA from 1 species
CUAAAAGUGGUCCGCACAAAGACCCAUAGGAUGAGUGCAUGCAAUUUCUCUGAAAUUCACUCUUUCCAACCUAACGGUCAAAUUUUUUUGGUGGCCAUAGAUAGAUAUAAAGCUAGCGUCUUUCAAGAAUGCUGGGCACAAGUAAGGGUCAAUGUGGUUGGGAGUAUAUAAGUGCAAUAAUGGAACUACAAUGAAAGAGAAAUUUUGUGAAGAGAGUUGACAAGGUGGAAUCAAUCUAGCAGCUACUUCUCAUCUACUCAUCUUGCAAGUGAUUCUUUUUCUGUCUAAUUCAUCUCACUUUUUCAAGAAACUUGAUAAGGUUGCCAUUUGUUUAAACCUCAAAUUCUUUGGUUAAUUAAUUGGGUUAAAUUCAAUGUUCUCUUACUUUCCGUCUUAUUAAUACCCUAU